rnacentral:lncRNA from 1 species
UUUUUGCCACCGCCCGCAUUCUCCUCUACCACUGUCAUCCUCCACCUCUGCCACCACCGCCCGCGUUCUCCUCUGCCACCGUAAUCCUCCACCUCCAUCACCACUGGCGCGUUCUCAUCUGCCACCGUCAUCCUCCACCUCCGCCACCACCGCCCGUCGUGUCUCUUUCCCUCUCUCUCUGCGCAUCACGCUAUCUUGCGCUUGUUCUCCUCCCAACUCCGACAGGAAAAGAUCAAAGAGGCGACAAAACCGAGCUUCUGAUCGCCGACGGAAGGUCAGUAUUGGCGUUCUAUCCAUCGAGAGCGAGCGGCCCGGCGGCUGCCGACCGAAGAGAGCCCGUAUUAAAAUGGAUGGUAAUUUUCUUAAGCUCCAACCGUCUGAUCUUAAUCGAGCGACGC